GGUGGGGUGGCCGAGUGGUUAGGCAGCGGUCUGCAAAACCGUAUACGCGGGUUCGAAUCCCGUCCUCACCUC
rnacentral:tRNA from 1 species